rnacentral:rRNA from 1 species
AUUGAACGCUGGCGGCAGGCCUAACACAUUGCAAGUCGAGCGCGAAAGUUCUUCGGAAUGAGUAAAGCGGCGGACGGGUGAGUAAUACAUGGGAAUCUGCCUGGUAGUGGGGGACAACGUUUCGAAAGGAACGCUAAUACCGCAUACGCCCUAUGGGGGGAAGGGGGGGAUCUUCGGACCUCUCGCUAUCAGAUGAGCCC